UACGUAGGUCCCGAGCGUUAUCCGGAUUUAUUGGGCGUAAAGCGAGCGCAGGCGGUUAGAUAAGUCUGAAGUGAAAGGUUGUGGCUUAACCAUAGUAUGCUUUGGAAACUGUUUAACUUGAGUGCCGAAGGGGAGAGUGGAAUUCCAUGUGUAGCGGUGAAAUGCGUAGAUAUAUGGAGGAACACCGGUGGCGAAAGCGGCUCUCUGGUCUGUAACUGACGCUGAGGCUAGAAAGUGUGGGGAGAAAACAGG
rnacentral:rRNA from 1 species